rnacentral:rRNA from 1 species
AGCGAACGCUGGCGGCAGGCCUAACACAUGCAAGUCGAACGAACCCUUCGGGGUUAGUGGCGGACGGGUGAGUAACACGUGGGAACGUGCCUUUAGGUUCGGAAUAACUCAGGGAAACUUGUGCUAAUACCGAAUGUGCCCUUCGGGGGAAAGAUUUAUCGCCUUUAGAGCGGCCCGCGUCUGAUUAGCUAGUUGGUGAGGUAAAGGCUCACCAAGGCUACGAUCAGUAGCUGGUCUGGGAGGAUGACCAGCCACAUUGGGACUGAGACACGGCCCAAACUCCGACGGAAGGCAGCAGUGGGGAAUCUUGCGCAAUGGGCGAAAGCCUGACGCAGCCAUGCCGCGUGGAUGAUGAAGGUCUUAGGAUUGUAAAAUCCUUUCACCGGUGAAGAUAAUGACUGUAGCCGGAGAAGAAGCCCCGGCUAACUUCGUGCCAGCAGCCGCCGUAAUAC